rnacentral:rRNA from 1 species
GACGAACGCUGGCGGCGUGCCUAACACAUGCAAGUCGAACGGAAAGGCCGUGCUUUUGUGGGGUGCUCGAGUGGCGAACGGGUGAGUAACACGUGAGUAACCUGCCUUUUACUGUGGGAUAACUUCAGGAAACUGGUGCUAAUACCGGAUAGGAGCUGCUGCUGCAUGGUGGGGGUUGGAAAGUUUCGGCGGUUGGGGAUGGACUUGCGGCUUAUGAGCUUGUGGGUGGGGGAGUGGCUUAGCCAGGCUUUGGCGGGUAGCCGGCCUGAGAGGGUGACCGGCCACAGUGGGCCUGAGGUACGGCCCAGACGGCUACGGGAGGCAGCAGUGGAAAAUAUUGCACAAUGGGCGGAAGCCUGAUGCAGCGGCGCCGGGUGCGUGAUGACGGCUUUCGGGUUGUAAACCGCUUUAGCCUGUGACGAAGCGUGUGUGACGGUAAUGGGUAAAGAAGCACCGGCUAACUACGUG